GACGAACGCUGGCGGCGUGCUUAACACAUGCAAGUCGAGCGAAGCGGCGGAUGGGUGAGUAACGCGUGGGUAACCUGCCCUUAAGUCUGGGAUACCAUUUGAAAACAGAUACCAAUACCGGAUACUAAAGGAUGGACCUGCGUUGCAUUAGCUAGUUGGUAAGGUAACGGCUUACCAAGGCGAUGAUGCAUAGCCGGGUUGAGAGACUGAUCGGCCACAUUGGGACUGAGACACGGCCCAAACGCCGACGGGAGGCAGCAGUAGGGAAUCUUCCACAAUGGACGAAAGUCUGAGAGAGCAACGCCGCGUGAGUGAAGAAGGUUUUCGGAUCGUAAAGCUCUGUUGUUGGUGAAGCGGUAAUCAACCAGAAAGUCACGGCUAACUACGUGCCAGCCGCCGCGGUAAUUC
rnacentral:rRNA from 1 species